rnacentral:rRNA from 1 species
GCGGCAAGAGCUCAAAUUUGAAAUCUGGUACCUUCGGUGCCCGAGUUGUAAUUUGAAGAAAGCUAUCUUGGAUUUGGCCUUUGUCUAUGUUCCUUGGAACAGGACGUCAUAGAGGGUGAGAAUCCCGUUCGAUGAGGUGUCCAUUUCCGUGUAAGAUGUUUUCGAAGAGUCGAGUUGUUUGGGAAUGCAGCUCAAAGUGGGUGGUAAAUUCCAUCUAAAGCUAAAUAUUGGCGAGAGACCGAUAGCGAACAAGUACUGUGAAGGAAAGAUGAAAAGAACUUUGAAAAGAGAGUGAAAAAGUACGUGAAAUUGUUGAAAGGGAAGGGUAUUAGAUCAGACUUGGUAUUUUGUUAUCAUUGCUCCUUGUGGGUGGUGCUCUAGCUUUUUACUGGGCCAGCAUCAGUUUUGGUGGCAAGAUAAUAACAGUUGAAUGUAGCUCAUUGAGUAUUAUAGCUUCUGUUGAUAUUGCCUAUCGGGACUGAGGUCUGCGGCUUUUGCCUAGGAUGCUGGCGUAAUGAUCCAAUACCGCCCGUCUU